rnacentral:lncRNA from 1 species
UUUGUUUAGGAAAAUGGUAUUUGAGAGCACAAAACUUUGCACAAAACACAAAGUAUAAAAGCGUCAUGUUCGUACGUGCAACAACACACGCACAUGUACACAACAAACAUACACAAAUCUCACCACAUAGCGACAACAUCUCCCUCCUUUCUCCCUCGCCACACAACAACAGUAUCUUCUCGGGUCUCUCUCUUCUGCCUCCACGCAAGGUCAGUCUCAACUCUAUUUUGUUUCACCUCACAGUAACAGUGAUAGCUCUAUCUGUCUCUCGUCUCAAGCAUCUUGUUCCCUCACUCGCUCGGUCUCACUGUCUCUGUCCCCUAAAUCCACAGUGGUGUUGCUCUCUCAUCCUGUGAUUUCAGCUGCGUUGCUCUCUCUCCCCCAAUACAAUCGGCUUGUUAAGGUUAGUUGCUUCAAUUCAUUACUCUAUGAUAAUUGUUAGAAGUAUGAACCUGAAUUAGAAUACAAGAACAAACAAUGAUGUAGGUUAUAGCCGUGAAGUAUGUGACAACUUGUCACUUGGAAUCUCCAACGUCUCAUUAUGACAUGCUUUUAGUGUCAGACGAGCAUGUUCCGUGAAGUGUGCAACUCACAUGAUUCACUUAAACAUUAUAUAAGCUCAAAACGGCAGUUAUAAUGUCGUUUAGCUUACUUAAAGGUGUCACAUGAUCAGCAAGUGUACAAUGCUAUUAGAGACGGUUAAAAGAAGCGGGAAACAAGCAGAUAGCAAGCUGGCUUCUAAACCGACUUGAGGGAGGCUUCCAGAUCUUGCCUAUAAGCUCUUAGUUGCUGUUAUUUGGUUGCAAGUAUUUUUUGUGACUCUCUAAAGAUAAAUUUGUUAUCUUGAUUUGCAGUAGUGGAAGCCAUAGCUCUGUUUCUCAAAGAGGGUGUAAGCCACCAUGGCUGAACCUCUGUAAAUUGGUCUCUGUUAUGUAUUACUCUUCAUCUCUGUUGUUUUCUAUUUGAUUAGUUUUAGAUUGGUUUGUCAUCCAUUCUUGGUCAAUUAAUCAAUGUGCAGUCAUUGUUCUUGGGGUACAAGAUCAGAUGAAUACUGAUCUUAAGUAUAACAAUAACAGUUAUAGUUUUGGUGAUAGACACACUACUGUGCUGCUCCCAAAGUUUAUGGUUAAAAAAAAUUAUUGAUUUAUUGAUCUGACCAGGUGCAAUUGCAAUUUGUAAUUCGUUCUCCAGAAAAUUAUUGAUUUAUUGUGAUUGUGGUGUUGGUGAGACCUUUGAAUUUGAUUGUGAGACUUGCAAUUGCAAUUUGUAAUCCAUUCUGAUGUGUGUUGCCGAAUCAUUUUUUGGAUGUUAUUCACUUGAAAGCAGGAUCUAGUCAUUUCGCGCACCAAUGGCAUCACUGGCAAAUUAU